rnacentral:lncRNA from 1 species
UUUCUUGGGGAGACGCGUCCGACUGCUUCAUUGUGGGGGCCUCAGGAGCGGAGGAUCGGGUCCCGCCCGAGGUGACGCGUAAACCCGGACUCUCAGCAACGCGGGUAGGAAGGACCCUUGAAGUUCCGCGGCGACCACGUCGGCUGAAACCAGCAGCCCAGGACAAGUGGACCAGCCAGCAAGACCCAGACCAUCCAAACCGGCUGAUCCUACGACAGGACCCAGAUGCCAGUGAAAGUGACCACAGCCCUGCUCUAGUCACCUCGGGAGCUGACCAGUCUACGCACGGCCGAAGCUUGAGGAGACGCCAGCCCUGCUCUCGUCACCCCGGGAGCUGACCAGUCUACACACGGCCGAAGCUUCAUCAAGGAAACCCAAGGCCUCCACCCCUCGAAUUCCCAGUUCACAGACACCAGCC